rnacentral:lncRNA from 1 species
AUGCUUUGUUUUACAUACCCAAAUGCUGGGCCUGAGGGCACCAAGAACGGUGGGACCAGUGACCCAGCAAAUGUGGGUCCAAGUUGUUUUGGUUGCUACCUAGCAACCUGGUUGCCUCUGCAGAAGUUUCUAGAGGCACUGGGGAGAGGUGGAAGCCCCAAGGCCACUGGCCCCAGGCACCCUUUAAGUUGGGCCCCAAGGCCCCUGGUGAAACUCAGGUGUGUCCAGUGGGGCCCUCCACACACAUCUGGGCUCAUGCCUCCAAUCGUCUGUGGUGUGGAGUCUCCCACAAAGCUCGUUCAGAAGACCUGCCCUCAACCAUCCCAUGCUCAUUCUCCCUUGCUGGUCCUUGGGGUCCAGGAGACACGUCCUCCCCAUCUGCCGGCUGUUCUGUCCCCUUCGCCAUUCCUGAGUCCCCACUCCAGGCCUGGGCCAGCCACUGACACUCUCUCUCUCUCUCUGUCUCUGUCUCUCUCUGUCUCUCUGUCUCUGUUUCUCUCUGUGUGUCUCACUGUCUGUCUUGCUCUGUGUCUUUCUCUCUCCCUGUCUUUCUGUUUUUCUCUCUCUGUCUCUCCCUGUCUCUCUUUCUCCCUGUCUGUUCCUCUCCAUCUCUGUCUCUUUCUGUCUGUCUCUUUCUCCUCUCUGUCUCUCCCUAUCUCUCUCUUUUUCUCUGUCUCUGUCUCUCCCUGUCUCUCUUUCUCUGUCUCUCUUUCUCUGUUUCUCCCUGUCUCUCUCUGUCUUUCUCUCUCUCUUUUUUCGCUGUCUCUCCCUGUGUCUCUGUCUCUCCCUGUCUCUCUUUCUCUGUCUUUGUCUCUCUCUGUCUCUCCCUGUGUCUCUGUCUCUGCCUUUCUCUCUUUCUCUGUCUCUGUCUUUCCCUCUCUCUGUCUCUAUUCCUGUCUCGCUUUCUCUGUCUCUGUCUCUCCUUGUCUCUGUCUCUCCCUCUCUCUGUCUUUGUCCCUGUCUCUCUUUCUCUGUCUCUAUCUCUCUCUUUCUGUCUCUCUGUCUCUGUCUUUCUCUCUCUCUCUUCCCAGGUCCCCACCCUUCCCUCCAACCUGCACUGUGCUCGGAAGCCAGACGACCUUAAAUGCAAGCGUGAUCCCUUCCUUCUGGCCUCCUGCGUCCUAG